rnacentral:rRNA from 1 species
CCAAUAGCGUAUAUUAAAGUUGUUGCAGUUAAAAAGCUCGUAGUUGAAUUUCGGGAUCAAUAUGUCGGUCGUGCCUUGGUACGUACUGGCGUCAUUGGCUUCUCCCUUCUGAAGAACCGCGAUGUCAUUAAUUUGGUGUCGUGGGGAAUCAGGACUGUUACUUUGAAAAAAUUAGAGUGUUUAAAGCAGGCUCGCGCUUGAAUACAUUAGCAUGGAAUAAUGAAAUAGGACGUUUGAUUCUAUUUUGUUGGUUUCUAGGAUCGACGUAAUGAUUAAUAGAGAUAGUUGGGGGCAUUAGUAUUCAAUUGUCAGAGGUGAAAUUCUUGGAUUUAUUGAAGACUAACUACUGCGAAAGCAUUUGCCAAGGAUGUUUUCAUUAAUCAAGAACGAAAGUUAGGGGAUCGAAGACGAUCAGAUACCGUCGUAGUCUUAACCAUAAACUAUGCCGACUAGGGAUCGGAUGAUGUUAAUUUUUUAAUGACUCAUUCGGCGCCUUACG